AUGGGUUAGUAUUAUAGGUGUGGUACUGGACAGAUGGGUUAGUAUUAUAGGUGUGGUACUAGACAGAUCGGUUAUGGGUAGUAUUAUAGGUGUGGUACUGGACAGAUGGGUUAGUAUUAUAGGAGUGGUACUGGACAGAUGGGUUAGUAUUAUAGGUGUGGUACAAGACAGAUGGUUUAUGGAUAGUAUUAAAGGUGUGAUAAUAGACAGAUGGGUUAUGGGUAGUAUUAUAGGUGUGAUACUAGACAGAUGGGUUAUGGGUAGUCUUAUAAGUGUGGUACUGGACAGAUGGGUUAGUAUUAUAGGUGUGGUACUGGACAGAUGGGUUAGUAUUAUAGGUGUGGUAGUAGACAGAUGUGUUAUGGGUAGUAUUAUAGGUGGGGUACUAGACAGAUGUGUUAUGGGUAGUAUUAUAGGUGUGGUACUAGACAGAUGGGAUAGUAUUAUAGGUGUGGUACUAGACAGAUGGAUUAGUAUUAUAGGUGUGGUACUGGACAGAUGGCUUAU
rnacentral:lncRNA from 1 species